rnacentral:lncRNA from 1 species
UGACAAUAGGUUAAAUUGUCGCGAAUCAUUCUAGUUAAUUUUAGUAGUGAAUUGCAACAAAAAUUUGGCUGAUCAGGGUACACGUUUCCUGAUCAAAUGGCUUCCUUGAUUUUGAUGACUGCUUGAGGCCAUUCCAUCACAACAGAGGUGCAAAUUGUUUGCUGAUGGAUCUGUAUUUGUGCACAGGCUACUGCGUUAUAUAAACUGGUAGCAGAAAGAGGACCAUGGAGUUCCUUGUCCAGAUGGGCACUAGAAUCCUACCUUAAAGGCGACAUAGGCAAGGCGUUCCUAUUAUAUUCCAGAAUGGCCGAGAUGGGGUAUGAGAUAGCCCAAAGUAACGCCGCAUGGAUCCUCGACAAAUACGGAGAAAGAAGCAUGUGCGUAGGUGAAUCCGGGUUCUGUACCGAUGCAGAAAGGCAUCAGCGAGCACACUCGUUGUGGUGGCAAGCUUCAGAGCAGGGCAACGAACACGCUGCGUUACUCAUCGGUGAUGCAUAUUACUACGGUCGGGUAUGCAUUAAAUACUCCAGAUCCGAAAAAAUCACUUCUUUAAGCUUACUGAUUGCUAAUUUCGUUGUUUAGGGUACCGAAAGGGACUAUGAACGAGCGGCGGAAGCAUACAUGCAUGCAAAGUCUCAAUCCAACGCACAAGCCAUGUUCAACCUCGGUUACAUGCACGAGCAUGGGCAAGGUCUUCCGCUCGAUCUCCAUCUUGCUAAGCGUUACUACGAUCAAGCAUUAGAAGUCGAUCCGGCUGCUAAGUUACCCGUGACGCUCGCUCUGGCUAGCUUGUGGGUUCGAAAGAACCAUGCCGAUAGUUUCAUGGUUAGUUGUUGCGUCGUUUAGUGAGCUUUCUUCAUUCUCGUCAGCUGCUAUAGCCUAUAUGUGCUUAUCCGAAUUGUUUGUUGUUUAUGUUGUCCCAAUGUAGGUCGACAUGAUCGAUUCGUUGCCCGAAGUGUUCCCGAAAGUCGAAGCCUGGGUCGAAAACGUGAUCAUGGAAGAAGGAAACGCCACGAUAUUGACUCUCUUCGUCUGUCUUCUCACCGUCCUCUACCUUCGUGAACGACAACGCAGAAACGUUGCCGCUGCAGCUGGCGCCGGUGACGGCGCUGUACCGCCGCACCAACCGGUCGAGCCGGAUAGGAUUCACAACGGAGCGGAGGAGAACAAGGAAGCUCUGAGGAGGUUUAAAGGAGAGGAGGAUGAGGAUUUCCAGAUUCUGGAGUAUCAGGCUCAGAAGGGGAAUGCUGCAGCUAUGUACAAGAUUGGUCUGUUUUACUACUUUGGGUUGAGAGGAUUGAGGCGUGACUAUGUCAAGGCAUUGACUUGGUUCUCUAAGGCCGUGGAGAAAGGGGAGCCUAGAUCAAUGGAGCUUCUUGGUGAGAUUUACGCCCGGGGAGCUGGUGUUGAGAGGAACUAUACUAAAGCACUGAAAUGGCUUACUCUUGCUUCCAGACAGCAGCUUUACUCUGCGUAUAAUGGCAUGGGGUAUCUCUAUGUUAAAGGGUAUGGAGUGGACAAGAAGAACUACACCAAAGUAUGUUUACUUUCAAAAAAAAUUCAAGAUUUUGAAAAUUGAUAUAUUGGUCUUUUGUUACUUCUGGUUUGCUCACCUUGUUUUAUGAACUGCAUUUCUCGAGCUUCGAACAUGAUUCGCCAUGGUUUCUCUAUUGCGAGCUGGUGAUUCUACCAUUAGCUCCUUGUUUGAAGUUUACUCGGUGUCUAUGCCUUUAAUUUGAUGAUGUUUGCCCAACCUAUCACCUCGGUUCAGUUAUCUCUACGAUGUUCUCAUUGAGGUGAAUGUAUAUGUGACAGGCGAAAGAGUACUUUGAGAAGGCUGAGGACAAUGAUGAACCAGGUGGCCAUUAUAACCUAGGAGUUAUGUACCUCAAAGGAAUUGGCGUAAAGAGAGACAUAAGGCUGGCUUGUCAGUACUUCAUAGUUGCUGCUAAUGCUGGUCAACCCAAGGCGUUUUAUCAGCUGGCCAAGAUGUUUCAUACUGGUGUUGGACUCAAGAAGAACCUGGCCAUGGUACGUAAUUUUUUAACCUUCUUUGGUAUCUUGGAUUUUGACUGCGUGAAGAUAUUCCAUCGUAAAUAGAAACAGAGGGUGCAUCUUGUUAGGAAUAGGAACCGUGCGCUAAACAUUGUUUGCUUUUAGGUUUUGUUUCAGUAUCGUGUAGGUUAGUUUUCAGAAUUUACAUCUGUGUAUGUGUGAACCAUUGGUUUUGUUAAAUCCACCUUGGCGAGCAUCAGAGGAUUUGCUUAGGAAUUGGUAAUUGUUUAUAACUUGCAUACCGUGACAAUAGGUUAAAUUGUCGCGAAUCAUUCUAGUUAAUUUUAGUAGUGAAUUGCAACAAAAAUUUGGCUGAUCAGGGUACACGUUUCCUGAUCAAAUGGCUUCCUUGAUUUUGAUGACUGCUUGAGGCCAUUCCAUCACAACAGAGGUGCAAAUUGUUUGCUGAUGGAUCUGUAUUUGUGCACAGGCUACUGCGUUAUAUAAACUGGUAGCAGAAAGAGGACCAUGGAGUUCCUUGUCCAGAUGGGCACUAGAAUCCUACCUUAAAGGCGACAUAGGCAAGGCGUUCCUAUUAUAUUCCAGAAUGGCCGAGAUGGGGUAUGAGAUAGCCCAAAGUAACGCCGCAUGGAUCCUCGACAAAUACGGAGAAAGAAGCAUGUGCGUAGGUGAAUCCGGGUUCUGUACCGAUGC